UUCUAUUGUGGCAGAGGAAUGCUCAGGAUUUAAGUUCUUGCUACGAAGUUUAUACUUCCAUAGAAA
rnacentral:tRNA from 1 species